rnacentral:rRNA from 1 species
CCCUGGCUCAGGACGAACGCUGGCGGCAUGCCUAAUACAUGCAAGUCGAGCGGAGUUCUGUUGAAAGCUUGCUUUCAACAGGAUUUAGCGGCGGACGGGUGAGUAACACGUAGGCAACCUGCCCCAUAGCCUGGGAUAACUACCGGAAACGGUAGCUAAUACCGGAUAAUUCCUUUCCCCACCUGGGAAGAGGAUGAAAGACGGAGCAAUCUGUCGCUGAGGGAUGGGCCUGCGGCGCAUUAGCUAGUUGGUGGGGUAACGGCUCACCAAGGCGACGAUGCGUAGCCGACCUGAGAGGGUGAACGGCCACACUGGGACUGAGACACGGCCCAGACUCCUACGGGAGGCAGCAGUAGGGAAUCUUCCGCAAUGGGCGCAAGCCUGACGGAGCAAUGCCGCGUGAGUGAUGAAGGUUUUCGGAUCGUAAAGCUCUGUUGCCAGGGAAGAACGUCUUAUAGAGUAACUGCUAUAAGAGUGACGGUACCUGAGAAGAAAG